rnacentral:sRNA from 1 species
CCUUGGGUGUCCCAGUUGUUCCGCUUGUAUAG